CUUAAAAUAACACCAUGAACACGACGCACAACACAACAUCAUAACGGCAUGUGUGCCUUGUCGUAGUAUGGUCCUGACAUUUUUAGAGAAUAAGAAAGAAUAAAGAAAGAAAGCCUAAGAAUAACAAUAGUUGAUAGCUACUUGCACCAGUCACCUAAUAACUUCAGCACAGCAGGGAAGUGCAGAGACCUUCAGUACAGCAUUUAUUUUAGCAUUGAGCUACUGCUCUCUAGUGGACAAACGGCUGCAUCUGAACGUGUAAUGGAACCACUUGAUGAAUAUAAAGGGUUGAUCGGAGUGACGUUGUUGUUGCCAAAUUUCGAAGGCCUUAUGAAUUAGGAAAAUGAUAACUAACAAGCUAUUCAAGUCAGUACAAAAAACAUCUAGAAAAGGUGCAAACAUGGCCGCUUUAAGAAUCACACAAACACACACAUAUAGUUGCGUGGACACGCAUGUUUGAAUCAGAAAUUGUUGGCUGAUUACAUACUAACAAACGUCACUUUUUGCAAAAGCAAAAUGAUGAAACAGCACUCUAUAGUAACAGUACACACACACACACACACACACACACACACACACACACACACACACACACACACACACACACACACACACACACACACACACACACACACACACACACUCUCACACUUACAUAACACUAAACUAAAUCAUCAAACACACUAUGGCCAAGCACUCAAUAAGGAAAUAAAUAAAUAAGUGAGGAUUUUCCAAGACAUUGGGUGUGUGUCUGUGUUUGUUCUUGUGUGUGUUUCCGGGUGCGGUUAGAUGUGGAGCCCCAGUAUCUUAGUGUGCUGUCCAUUAGAGCGCCUUAAUGGUCUGUGCAUUACCCUAAUGACUUGACGAGUUAGACUCCCACCAGCACCACACACACACUUGGCACACACAAACAGACACAUACACACAGACACAAACACACACUGGGCGCAGGGACUCACACAGACACAUGCAUACACACUGGCCACACACACACACACACACACACAUUGGACAAACAACACACACACUGGCAGAACAAACACUCACAAACACACACAUGCCAUGCUGGCUUUCCUCUUCCUCCUAUUCCUCUCCUUCUUACCGGCAGCAUAAGAUACUCUUUAAUGGACCAACGAUUGAUGAGCGCACUCCUUAACGCACACCGUCACAACGCAAAUAAAUAAAUAAACUAACAGAGGAUGAUAGGGCACAAUGCUGUUCACACGGUCACACCAGAGGAAGAAUGAAUGAGUGGAUGGAUAUGUAGCCCAGCGUUGAAGUUCUGAGAAGAUAAAAACAAAAAAAGUAUUACACAAAAUGAACCAAUCAGGUACCAGAGACAACCUUCUGGGGUCUGAGGAGGGUGCUCCUCCGGAGGUCCGUCUCCCAGACUCAGACCCAGGGGGGGCUGCCCCCCCGGAGAGGGCCGCUGCGGGCUCCAGGUGGGGGUUCGUGGGGCCCGCUGCGGAGGAGGAGAUCACGGGGGACCCGUGUAGCUCUCCGGAGAGCUGCAGUGAGGAAGACGGUCUCCCGGUCCCAGGGGAGAAGGAGAAGUUCCCGCAGCUGAUGGAGGUGGACGACCGGCCGCCCGAGGAGAGGGCACGGCUGAGGGAGCAGUGGCAGAAGCAGAGGACGUCCUCGAUCUUGUCUGUCCUGACCAUGGGCUGCCUGCGGACCGAGAAGCCCCCCAUGGACUCUAACAACCAGGAGGAGCUGGCGCCCGACAGCCCCGUGUGCCGCUUCAAGCUGGAGCCAAUCCCUGCCAAGGACGAAGAAAGGUUUGACGCCGACAAACUGUUUGAAAUUGUAGCGAGCGGGGAUGUUGAGAGGCUGCAUGGACUGAAGGACUACUUGCAUAAGACCAUGAAACCACUCUCUCACUCACUGUAUCAGUCCCAUGGGAAGACAGCCCUGAUGAAGGCUCUGCUGAACGUGAGCAGCGGUGAGAAUGAGAUAGUGGACUGCCUGUUGAACAUUGCAGAGGACAUGGGAGACAUCAAGAAGCUGAUAAAUUUGUCCUACACAAGCUCCUACUAUAAAGGUCAAACGGCUCUCCACAUUGCCAUCGAGAGAAGGAACACGUAUUAUGUGAAGAAGCUGGUGGAGAAGGGAGCAGACCUCUACGCCAAAGCCUGCGGGAAACUGUUCCAGCCUGACAGCUCUGAGCCCAGCUUCUACUUUGGGGAGCUGCCUCUGUCCCUGGCUGCCUGCACCAACCAGCCUGAGCUGGUGGACUUCCUUCUGGGCGCGUCGGCCAGUGUCGUGGAGCAGGACUCCCAUGGCAACACGGUGCUGCACGCCCUGGUGAUGGUGGCGGAUGACGACAGCCAUCACAACACCAGGUUCAUCAAAGCCAUGUAUGACCACAUCCUGCUCGCCACCGCCAAGGUCAACACGGACUGGAGGUUGGAGUCCAUACAGAACAAGGAGGGGCUGACCCCCCUGAAGCUGGCCGCCAAGACGGGCAAGGUGGAGCUGUUCAAGCACCUCCUCCAAAGGGAGUUCAAGAACAAGGACACAAAGCACCUGUCCCGCAAGUUCACCGAGUGGGCGUAUGGACCCAUCAGCUGCUCCCUGUACGAUCUGGAGGCCCUGGACACCUACGAUGACGACAGGUCCAUCCUGGAACUGGUGGUCUAUGGCAGCGACAACCCUAGGCGUCUGGACCUGCUGCAGGUGGAGCCUCUGUGUGGCCUGCUGAACGAGAAGUGGAACCAAUUCGCAGGCCGUCUCUUCCUGCUGCACUUCCUGGUCUACCUGCUCUACCUCGGGGCCUUCACCACCAUCGCCUACAACAAGAAAGACAUGCAUCCAUUCCAAUCAGUGAAGACCGCCAGAGGAUACAUGCACAUUGUCUUUCGUCUGAUUACAGUCAUAGCAUCAAUUUACUUCUUCCUCCGAGGGAUCGUGGACUUGAUGAGAAAGCGCCCAAAACUAAGCACAUUCAUGGUAGAUGGCUACUAUGAUGUCUUGUUCUCCACUCAGGGCUUGCUGUUCGUGGUGUCUGCGGCUCUGUACCUGUUCAGCCGCUCAGAGUAUCUGGGCUUCAUGAUCCUCAGCAUGGUGUUGGGCUGGGUCAACCUCCUCUACUUCACCAGGGGCCUAGAACGCAUAGGCGUCUACAGCGUGAUGAUACAGAAGGUCCUCACUGGUGACAUCAUCCCCUUCUUCCUCAUCUACGUCGUCUUCCUCUCUGGCUUCUCCGCAGCCAUAGUCACCAUGCUCACAGACCAGUCCCAGUGGACGGGGGAGGAGUCGGAGCCUCCGUCCUGCACUGUGGAGGCGGACUGCAAGGGGCCGGACUUCAGGGACAUCACCUACACCGCCCUGGAGCUCUUCAAGCUCACCAUCGGGAUGGGAGACCUUAGCUUCAGCAAGGGCUAUAAGUACGAGGAGUUGCUGUACCUGUUGCUGAUUGGCUACAUUGUGCUCACCUACGUCCUGCUCUUCAACAUGCUCAUCGCCCUGAUGAGUCACACGGUGGAGGAGACCGCCAAGGAGAGCACCCGCAUCUGGAAGCUACAGAGAGCCAUCACCACGCUGGACCUGGAGUGGGGCCUCCCUCGGUGUGUGAGGAGCAGGCUACGGUCCGGGGUGGAGAAGGACCUCUCUGGGGGCGGAAUGGCCAACGAACAGGGCAAGCGCUGGUGCUUCAGAGUGGAGGAGGUGGACUGGAGCGAAUGGAGGGUCAAUCUGGGGAACAUUAGGGAGGAGCCCAUGUCUACACCGAAAACACCAACAGCACCACCAGCUCCCAUGGACAAAAGAAACUGAUUGUUGGAAUUGUACUUCCGCCACAGUAGGGAGCAGUAUUUCAUUCCAUCUAGCCUUGGCCAGGAAAUGUUCCCCCAUGCAGAAGAAUCAAAAAUGUCCUGUGGCUGUUCCGUCAGAGAUCAUCAAAAGAACAACAGCUGGAGAAUGAAGCAUAACAUGAAUGCCUGGUCGCUGGGGUUGUCAUUCACUAUACAUUUAAAUCAUAAUCAAAAAAUCUUUUACUGCUCGGUCUAUUAUGAAAGUUGAAUCAUUGAAGUAAGACUUUUCUGGGAUUUCAAAUCAUAGUAAAGAGAACAAUGAAAUUAUAUCUGCUUUAUAUGCUCAAAAUGCAAUGUUACCUUCUGUUAACCACAGUGGCUGUUAAAUGGCAUUCAAAAGCCACUUUGCAAAGAACUGUAUAACUGAUGUAACCUGAAUGUCCCCACAAAUCUCUGUGUGCUGGAUGUUUGAUCGGCAGUUUUUCCUCAAAAGAUCUGGGUCACAGCACUAGAUGUAUCCUCCCCUUUCUUGCUCAAAUCCCAGCAGACUGAAGAGACAGCUGGACAACUUCUCCCAGGCUUCACAGAAUUUAUUUCGCUGAGCUGUUAAAAAAACACAUUAAUUUGACUGGUGGGGAUCUGUAACUAUACAGCUCCUGCACAGCCUAUCAGCAGCAGCCAAAGGGCAAUGUACUUUUUACAUUGUGCUCGAGUAGUUUUGUUUUUGUUUCAGAAUUAAAAGUUAAUUCAUUCUAUCAUAGAUGAUAAACAA